GCCCACAUAGCUCAGUCGGUAGAGCACGUUCUUGGUAAGAACGAGGUCUCCGGUUCAAAUCCGGAUGUGGGCUCCA
rnacentral:tRNA from 2 species